AGAUCUCAUGAUGGAUUUUACAUGCUGCAUAUGGGAGAAACAAAUCCGAUAGAAUACAGUCUGAGAACUUUUGGUUGGAAAAAAGAAGUGCCAAAGGGAUGAGACCACGCCUGAAGCUCAAAACUGAACCAGACUUAGGGGUGCAGAGAUUCAGAAGAGGAAGCAGUGUGGUUGGGGCACAGGGCAUGCCGUGCAGCCUGCCCUGGGCUCCUUGGUUCUUGGCAUGCUCGGCUGUGAAGUAAAGAGAUUGGGUAGUUAGCAUGAUGAUCUCUAAAGAGCACUGAGUUCAGCGAUUCCACAGUUCUAAUAAAAUCGAAAGCUAUUA